rnacentral:misc_RNA from 1 species
UAUGGAAGUCCAGGGCUCCUCGAAGAAGAUGAUAGCGACGCAGGCUGAGAUGGUUGAGGCUAGGGUUCCAAUUCCUUACAGAGAUCAGUGCGCUCACUUGUUGAUCCCUCUUAAUAAAUGCCGCCAAUCCGAGUUCUACCUCCCAUGGAAAUGCGAAGACGAGCGCCAUUCCUACGAGAAGUGUGAAUAUGAGCUCGUUAUGGAGAGGAUG